GUGGGGAAUCUUAGACAAUGGGCGCAAGCCUGAUCUAGCCAUGCCGCGUGAGCGAUGAAGGCCUUAGGGUUGUAAAGCUCUUUCAGGGGGGAAGAUAAUGACGGUACCCCCAGAAGAAGCCCCGGCUAACUCCGUGCCAGCAGCCGCGGUAAUACGGAGGGGGCUAGCGUUGUUCGGAAUUACUGGGCGUAAAGCGCACGUAGGCGGACUGGAAAGGCAGGGGUGAAAUCCCGGGGCUCAACCCCGGAACUGCCUUUGAAACUCCCAGUCUUGAGUUCGAGAGAGGUGAGUGGAAUUCCGAGUGUAGAGGUGAAAUUCGUAGAUAUUCGGAGGAACACCAGUGGCGAAGGCGGCUCACUGGCUCGAUACUGACGCUGAGGUGCGAAAGCGUGGGGAGCAAACAGGAUUAGAAACCCCUGUAGUCC
rnacentral:rRNA from 1 species